CCUACGGGAGGCAGCAGUGAGGAAUAUUGGUCAAUGGACGAGAGUCUGAACCAGCCAAGUAGCGUGAAGGAUGACUGCCCUAUGGGUUGUAAACUUCUUUUAUAAAGGAAUAAAACGAGGCACGUGUGCCUUUUUGCAUGUACUUUAUGAAUAAGGAUCGGCUAAAUCCGUGCCAGCAGCCGCGGUAAUACGGAGGAUCCGAGCGUUAUCCGGAUUUAUUGGGUUUAAAGGGAGCGUAGAUGGGUUGUUAAGUCAGUUGUGAAAGUUUGCGGCUCAACCGUAAAAUUUCAAUUGAUACUGGCAGUCGUGAGUACAGUUGAGGUAGGCGGAAUUCGUGGUGUAGCGGUGAAAUGCUUAGAUAUCACGAAGAACCCCGAUUGCGAAGGCAGCUUACUAAACUGUGACUGACAUUGAUGCUCGAAAGUGUGGGUAUCAAACAGGAUUAGAUACCCUUGUAGGC
rnacentral:rRNA from 1 species